AUCGAACGCUGGCGGCAUGCCUUACACAUGCAAGUCGAACGGCAGCACGGGAGCAAUCCUGGUGGCGAGUGGCGAACGGGUGAGUAAUAUAUCGGAACGUGCCCAGUCGUGGGGGAUAACGUAGCGAAAGCUACGCUAAUACCGCAUACGAUCUAUGGAUGAAAGCGGGGGAUCGCAAGACCUCGCGCGAUUGGAGCGGCCGAUAUCAGAUUAGGUAGUUGGUGAGGUAAAGGCUCACCAAGCCGACGAUCUGUAGCUGGUCUGAGAGGACGACCAGCCACACUGGGACUGAGACACGGCCCAGACUCCUACGGGAGGCAGCAGUGGGGGAAUUUUUGGGACAAUGGGCGCAAGCCUGAUCCAGCAAUGCCGCGUGCAGGAUGAAGGCCUCGG
rnacentral:rRNA from 1 species